rnacentral:rRNA from 1 species
GUAACGCUAGCGGCAGGCUUAACACAUGCAAGUCGAACGGUAAGUUAAGAGCUUGCUCUUAACACGAGUGGCGCACGGGUGCGUAACGCGUAUGCAAUCUACCCUUUUCUGGAGAAUAGCCCUUGGAAACGAGGAAUAAUACUCCAUAGUAUAACGAUUUCGCAUGUUAUUGUUAUUAAAGUUUCGGCGGAAAAGGAUGAGCAUGCGUCCCAUUAGUUAGUUGGUAAGGUAACGGCUUACCAAGACAGCGAUGGGUAGGGGGCCUGAGAGGGUUAUCCCCCACACUGGUACUGAGACACGGACCAGACUCCUACGGGAGGCAGCAGUGAGGAAUAUUGGUCAAUGGACGGAAGUCUGAACCAGCCAUGCCGCGUGCAGGAUGACGGCCCUAUGGGUUGUAAACUGCUUUUAUAUAGGAAGAAACCUCUCUACGUGUAGAGAGCUGACGGUACUAUAAGAAUAAGGACCGGCUAACUCCGUGCCAGCAGCCGCGGUAAUACGGAGGGUCCAAGCGUUAUCCGGAUUUAUUGGGUUUAAAGGGUACGUAGGCGGAAGAUUAAGUCAGUAGUGAAAGCCCAUCGCUUAACGAUGGAACUGCUAUUGAUACUGAUUUUCUUGAAUAUAGUUGAAGUAGGCGGAAUACGGCAUGUAGCGGUGAAAUGCAUAGAUAUGCCGUGGAACACCAAUCGCGAAGGCAGCUUACUAAGCUAUUAUUGACGCUAAGGUACGAAAGCGUGGGUAGCGAACAGGAUUAGAUACCCUGGUAGUCCACGCUGUAAACGAUGAUUACUCGGUGCUGAC